rnacentral:rRNA from 1 species
UACGAAGGUGGCAAGCGUUACUCGGAAUUACUAGGCGUAAAGGGCAGGUAGGCGGUCUGUUUAGUCUGUUGUGAAAGCUCCUUGCUUAACGAGGAGAGGCCAACAGAUACUGGCAGGCUUGAGUAUAGGAGAGGGUACUGGAAUUCCCGGUGUAGCGGUGAAAUGCGCAGAGAUCGGGAGGAACACCAGAGGCGAAGGCGGCGACCUGGACAGGCACUGACACUCAACUACGAAAGCGUGGGGAGCAAACAGG